rnacentral:rRNA from 1 species
CAGGGGAUAUUGCGCAAUGGGCGAAAGCCUGACGCAGCAACGCCGCGUGGAGGAAGAAGGCCUUCGGGUUGUAAACUCCUUUUCUCGGGGAAGAAGCAAGCGACGGUACCCGAGGAAUAAGUCUCGGCCAACUACGUGCCAGCAGCCGCGGUAAUACGUAGGAGGCAAGCGUUAUCCGGAAUUAUUGGGCGUAAAGGGCGUGUAGGCGGCUUCCAAAGUCUACAGUGAAAUCUCCCGGCUUAACUGGGAGGGGGCUAUAGAUACUUGGAGGCUUGAGGGCAGCAGAGGGAGAUGGAAUUCCCGGUGUAGUGGUGAAAUGCGUAGAUAUCGGGAGGAACACCAGUGGCGAAGGCGGUCUCCUGGGCUGUACCUGACGCUGAGGCGCGAAAGCGUGGGGAGCAAACAGG